UACGGGGGGUGCGAGCGUUGUCCGGAAUCACUGGGCGUAAAGGGCGCGUAGGUGGUUUGAUAAGGGUGUGGUGAAAGCCCGGAGCUCAACUCCGGGUCUGCCGUGCCGACUGUCAAACUCGAGGGCUGUAGAGGCAGACGGAAUUCCGGGUGUAGCGGUGGAAUGCGUAGAGAUCUGGAGGAACACCGGUGACGAAGGCGGCAUCCUGGACCAACACUGACGCUGAGUGAGCGAAAGCCAGGGGAGCAAACGGG
rnacentral:rRNA from 1 species